AGAGUUUGAUCAUGGCUCAGAUUGAACGCUGGCGGAAUGCUUUACACAUGCAAGUCGAACGAUGAUUUCUAGCUUGCUAGAAUGAUUAGUGGCGAACGGGUGAGUAAUGUAUCGGAACGUAUCCAAUAAUGGGGGAUAACUAAUCGAAAGGUUGGCUAAUACCGCAUACGCCCUACGGGGGAAAGCAGGGGAUCUUCGGACCUUGCGUUAAUGGAGCGGCCGAUAUCUGAUUAGCUAGUUGGUGAGGUAAAAGCUCACCAAGGCGACGAUCAGUAGCUGGUCUGAGAGGACGACCAGCCACACUGGAACUGAGACACGGUCCAGACUCCUACGGGAGGCAGCAGUGGGGAAUUUUGGACAAUGGGCGAAAGCCUGAUCCAGCCAUUCCGCGUGAGUGAAGAAGGCCUUCGGGUUGUAAAGCUCUUUCGCAAGGGAAGAAACGAUGCAGUCGAAUAAACUGUGUUAAUGACGGUACCUUGAUAAGAAGCACCGGCUAACUACGUGCCAGCAGCCGCGGUAAU
rnacentral:rRNA from 1 species